GACAGAGGGUGCAAACGUUGUUCGGAAUUACUGGGCGUAAAGAGCGUGUAGGCGGUUUGGUAGGUCCGUUGUGAAAACUCGAGGCUCAACCUCGAGACGCCGAUGGAAACCAUCAGACUAGAGUCCGGAAGAGGAGAGUGGAAUUCCUGGUGUAGCGGUGAAAUGCGCAGAUAUCAGGAAGAACACCCGUGGCUAAGGCGGCUCUCUAGUACGGUACUGACGCUGAGACGCGAAAGCGUGGGGAGCGAACAGG
rnacentral:rRNA from 1 species